GUGCUACUUUUACAUUCGGCACCCCAUACUGCCGCUAGGAUUCUACUGAAUAUCUCAUAUAAUCUAUGAACAGAUUUAAGGUACUAACAACUAACAAAAAACAAUAACUUCUGAGUUAAGCUACAGUAUAGUCGGUGCUAACAAAGUGCACAAUUGCAGUGCUGGAAUAUCUGGAUUUAUUUUUCUUGUACAAAAUCAAUAUUUUAUCUUUAGUUUAUCAAACUGUGUUAAUAUGUUCCCACAAAAAAUAGCCUUUUACAUUUUUACUUUCCACAGAACUUGUCACAGCCUGGACUUUUAUGUUGCCACUUCCUGCUUUAUUUUCUUGUAUUUCCAGUUUUGUCUUGCCAUGUCUACUUUUGUUUUACUUUCCCAGUCAUGUGAUCUCACCAGUUGUUUUCUAUCAGUCAUUGCUCACCUUUGUCCUGUUCUUAAGCACCGUCUCAGCCAGAGCCCGGUUGCCACAUUGUUAGCGCACGUCAACUGUGUCUACGCUCCCGCAUUCAUCCUAAUCGACGCGCCGACGGCACUGCUCCAGUGGAACAUCUCAUCAUCAUCUCUGUCGGUACUGGUUCGGACUGUCUGGUGAUCGUGAACCAAGUCUGGAGAUGGCCAAUACAAGUGGUCAAUACAAGAAAUUAAGCAGGCUUCAGUGGGCUCCUCUUCUGGCUGACCAGCUCCCCAGCUUUGGAAAAUGUCCUUUCACAGGAAACAGAUGAUGCUGGGAUGCACAGAUACAGUGCUUUCAUGCAAGUUGCCACAACCUUUAACUGAGGAACACUUACAAUACUGUGUGCUCCAUCAGUAACCAUCCACAGACCUUUUCAGUGAGUCCCCACUCUGCAACUGCUGUGUGGGUCAAAGGAAACUACUGCACACCCAAAGGCACAGUAGCCAGAUCUAGGCUGUCUGACACAUGAUGGCAAGUGACACCAAGGCACUGAUGUUCACAUGUCAUCUCUUUGGUUACAGUGUACCUUGCUUCCAUCAUUGUCUUUACAGUUUUGUGGCUUGGAAUGGAGAAUGACAGGUCCAGGAUUUUAAUGAAGCUUUGGAACCCUUCAUCCUCAACGAUAGAUUUAACUAUCAUACCCACCAAGACCUCAACCAGCUUCUGUUUUCCUGAAACUGUGUGGAAGAAAGGUUGCCAUGUGAAUAUGAUACACAUCUACAAAAACACAUACAUAUAUGCAAGUUUAUAUUUAGCUUGCUGUCAGGAUUUCUAGUAUUGACAGGUCACUGGUUUGCCGGGUAUGAUUGAAAUCAUUCCUUACACUGAAGAGUCUCAGCACAUAGGUGCUGAGACUCCCCCUCUCCUAUGUCAUAGGAGACAUAGGAGGGGGCGCGAUGCUGUGAGAGAACGCGAGACUCUGCGAGAACAGCACGAGAAAUUCAACAAGGUGGCGCGACACCGGUAGUAAACAACAGCGCGACAAACUAUCCGCCAACUUAAAUAAAAUAACUACCUUAUUUUACGGAAAAUAAUCAACCACCCUACCAUUCUGGAUAACACCGAAGAAAGUUUCGAGCACAUCGACGAGUGCUUAGAGCGUCUGGUAAUGGUGAAAAAGGACACUGCUCCAAACAAGCAAUCCCGUCCGUCUGACUCACCUGAGUCACCUGGAGCUAGCUCGGCGGAUUAAAACAUCACGGACAUCCUGGAGUCAAUCGAGAAAAAAAAGCUUCGACGCGCUUUUGGCACUAGUGGAACUCCUCCACAAAGAGUUUAUGGCCCUCCGCGACUCCCUGGAAUUCAGCCAGCAGCAGGUGGUUUCUCUCGCCACCGAGAACGAGGCCCUGGAAGGAACGGUGCAGUCCCUGACGGAGGAUGUGGCUCAGCUAGCGGCCGAAAAUAAAAAAAUAAAAGAAGGCAUCAUCGAUCUGCAGGCCCGCAGCAUGAGGGACAACCUGGUGUUCUCGGGGAUUCCAGAACAGGCAGAGGAAAACACGGAAACCACAAUUAAAAACUUCAUUAAACAACAGAUGAAGAUCCCAGCGGAAGUUGUCGACAAGAUGGCGUUCCACCGUUCGCAUAGACUUGGAGGAAGACGACCGGAUGGCCAGCGCCCUCGACCCAUCGUUGCCAAGUUUUAUGACUUUAAGCAGAAGGAACUGGUUAAGAGCUGGGGCAGACAGCUGAAGGGAACCGACUACAGCGUCAACGACCAGUUCCCCAAGGAGAUCCUCGACCGCCGCCGCCGACUGUUCCCCAUCCGUAAGAGGUUCAUGGCAGAAGGCUGCAGGGCUGUCAUCAGCGUCGACAAACUGUACGUCAACGGAGAGCUCUACCGGGACCGGGAAGCAACUCCGUGGCUGUACUAGCAGGUGGCUGACGCAUGCCAGCUACCAAAACGCGAGGAGGUUGCUUCUCAAACUGACACGCGGCUACCUUGUAGAAGAGUAGAAGCGUGCUCACCUCAGGAGAAAAGAGUGGUGUCAAGGAAAACAGCUGCAUCCUCCAUCUGUACAGCAGCUGCACUGCUUCCAAUGUCUUCCAACACGUUAAGAUCCUCACAUCUCCCCAGCCAACUGCCCAUGACUCUACCUGUUCCACUUCAGAAACUAUGCUUUCAACAUAACUAUGAAUCCUACCCGUUCAUUUUGUGGUCUGCAAAUUGAACUGUGACGGUAACUUAUCCAGCAUUAUAGUGCUGGUGCAUUGGUUAAAAAUUAAGUUGGCUUUGACUAUUGCUGUUUCACUGAACUAUUUUUGUAUGUAUAUACCUAAUGAGGGAAAACAGACAGAUGUUUUAUAAUAUUUCAGCUUUUAUUGAGGUAUUGCCACAAAAAAAAUAAUUUAGGUAUUUCACAGGUGGUCUAAGUCCAACAUAGGUGCCUUGUCCCCCAGAAAACACUGCCCUGAUCCAGACCAGGGAAGGUGGGAUGACUUGGACCAUUCGCCCUAGAAGUCCCCAGCACCAGCUGACAAGACUUCUAGGCAAGAUACCUGCAACAACUUGAGAUACACACAGACAUAGUACUGAAAAAAAAACAAUAAUAUCAUUUCUAUUAGUUAUAUAUUGCCACUUGAUAUAUCAUACACCUUACUAAAAGCAAUUAAAAAAUAUUAGGUCAAUAUAUAUUUAGAAACAAAACUAUGUUUGUAAACCAGAGUUCCCAGGUACAUUAUGAUUAAUCUGUAAAUAGUAAAAUGUUCUAAAGUUUUUAUGAAUUUCUGAGAUACUGAUUUAUUCCAUGCAUGUGUAAUUGUCUGAUAUACUGUAUAUUAAAUGUGUUCUGUAAUGAAUACACAUUCAAUCAUACUGGCUCCAGUCCUGGUUCAUCAACCAUACAUGACAGUAGGUUUGGCAACUGGUUCAGGCGCCUUGAGGUAAGAUUUAUCGAAAUUUUAAUUUAUUAAUAAAAGUAAUAAACACAUGCAAUAUCUUGAAAGCAAUAGUUGCUGUCACACCAUGUCUCUGUAGGCAUUCACUGUUCCUACAUUGGCACUUAAUUACAGACAAAUAUGGCAAAAUAUAAGCUGCAGCUGAAGAUCCCAUUAUAGAUAAAUUAUUUUCACACAGCAGCAGAAGGAGAAAGAAAAAAACAUGUAAAAAUGAGUUUAUAUUAGUUUAUCAAGCUAUGCUCCCAAACAAGCUGUAGUCGUGUUAUGAAUAUUCUGUUGUAUUAAUUCAGGCUGCUAAUUUCCAACCAUUAGUAUUAGCGUUAGCAGCUAAUCAAGUUGCGUAUUAUAUAAAAUCAAAUUAAAUUAAACGUGAAUCUGCCAGUUAGACGUACCUUGCGCCAGUCGAAGUGUAACCACUUCAACAGCCUCCCAUUCGACUUCAGAGUCAGAUUUUGGAUCAAACAUAAGGUUGAACUCACUACGAGGACGAGUUAGCCAGUGUCACUGUUACAAUGGAUUCAGUUCCCACGGCUAUGCGCUUCCUCAAAGCGGUGUGGCGAUCAGUUUAGCUUCCGACACACUCGGAAAACAGAGCGUUGUGGACGAGAGCUUAAAACACACAUUUUCAGACGGGUCGUGUGAGCGAUCUACAGCGCUUUUUGGCAUGAAAAGUUACAGACACCUUACUGAGACAUCAAGGUCCAAUUCUUUAGCAAUGUGGAGCAUGAAAAAAGCAUGUGCAUGGACCUUUAAAGUUACAGUGACUGCUGUAAGUUACAGUGACUGCUUUCAAUUAAAUGCACAGUGACUGCUGUCAGUUAAAGUGACUGCUGUCAGUUACAGUCACGGCUGUCAGUUACAUGUACAGCUACUGCUGUCAGUUACAUGUACAGCGACUGCCGUCAGUUACGGCGACUGCCGUCAGUUACGGCGACUGCCGUCAGUUACAUGUACAGUGACUGCUGUCAGACUCCCUGUUAAGAACUACUCCCAUAUUCCCAAUAAAGAAAGCUCCUCCUUCCACUGGCCGGAGGAUGGUACAACCAAGAGCAGUCGUGGUUCCUGAUCCCUACAUUCUGUUGAAUAAUUUACACCCAUAUAAGCAGAUCCUCUCAGUUAUAAAUAUUAGUAAUGCCUUUUGUAGCAUCCCAGUUCUGCCAGAUUCACAAUUUUGGUUUGCGUCUACUUACAAAGGUCAGCAAUGCACGUACACCAGGCUACAAUAAGGUUAUUGCGAAAGCCCGACUAUUUUCUCACAGUGUAUGUCAGCGA